rnacentral:misc_RNA from 1 species
UCCCACCCAUUGGAAUACUCUAGGCUGAUAAGUGGUGAGGCACUCUUCCUAUAAACCUCCUUGAGCUGGUCAGUACUAAGCCGGCUAUCUGAAGUAUCAAAUGCACUUCCAAUUUUCUGUUUCUGGCGACGGUACCAUGUGAAUGUGAGAAGUCCAGUGACAGUUAAUGCAAUGAAAAUUCCCAUUACACCAAAUAUGACACCAAACUGCGGGUUUUUGGAUGAAUUUGAACAGUGAGUUUGGCUGCAAUUAGAAGGUACAUUUGCAGAUUCUGGGAUAUCCUUUUGCAAAGCACCACUAGGUUUGAAAGGUUCAGAUCUAUUUGGGUUUAGAUGAUCAGAUGCUGUACACGUUUCCAAGUUAGGAAACUCAAUUCCACAUAAACCAGGGUUGUUGUCAUACUGGAAUCCACUAUUCAGCCUCUUCAAACCUGGAG